rnacentral:rRNA from 1 species
UAAUCAUUUGUCUAUUAAUUGUAGACCAGUAUGAAAGGCUACAUGAGAGUCAAACUGUCUCUUGUAAUGAAUCUAUUAAACUGAUCUCCUAGUUCAAAAGCUAGAAUACCUAUAUAAGACCAGAAGACCCUGUGAAGCUUAAACUAACCUUCUAAAACAACUAGAAGCUACUUUCAGUUGGGGCGACUAUGGAACAAAACAAAACUUCCAACAUAUAAAUACUUAAAGGCAUACAAGCCUAUAUACGACCCAGUCUUACUGACUAACGAAACAAGUUACUCCAGGGAUAACAGCGCUAUCUUCUUCAAGAGCCCAUAUCAAAAAGAAGGUUUACGACCUCGAUGUUGGAUCAGGACACCCAAAUGGUGCAGAAGCUAUUAAAGGUU